rnacentral:lncRNA from 1 species
AGGAGUUUGAUGUCAUACUGGGCAUAGACUGGCUGUAACAUACGAGAUUUUGGUAUAAAAAUAAAAAUAAAUAAAAAUAGUGUGAGAAACUAUUUUUAUUGAAUUUGUAGAAGUAAAACAUAAGUCAGAAGUGACUUGUGCUGAAAUCGAAAUGAAAACAGAAGAUUUAGAAUUUUUGUUGAAAACGGGACAGAUAAAUUAGCAGAAAAUGCACAGUCUCAGAAAAUUAUGAAAAUUGGAGAAUAAGUCAGAAAUAUUUUUAUGAGGCUAGAUUUAAAGUUUCAUAUUUUUCUGACACCCGUAGAGUGAGAAAUAAAAUCCGACAGCUAUCUGAUAAAGAUUACAGUUCGGUACAGUUUUCAGUGACCAAACGGGGUCGAAACUGAACCAGCGAUCGUCAGCUUGUUAAGUUAAGUAAAACCGAACAUGACUGUCAAGUUUGAGCUCAAACGGACAUUCAGGGAGCUCCGGCGAAAGUUAUCAGAUUUCAAGCUGCCCGAGAGUGAAUAGUG